CCAAUUUUUUCUUUUCCUCUGGAUCGAGGAGUGUCCCGAUUUUAACCAAACCCGGAUUUUCGGUCGUUUUGAUAUCCACGUCCUUCGUAAGUUCUGAGGCCGAGAAGUUCGGCUUUGGCUUCCCAAUUUCAUGGAGGUUCUUUAAUUGUUAUAAUGGCUCUGUAGAUUCAACCAAGACAGCAUCUUGCAUGGAGUUUGACCUUCUAGCUUCGUUUGUCUCUGUGAUAUAGAAUCUCCUACGAUCUAUAAGAUCCCAUCGGGUGUUGGGAACCUUAUUCUUUGAUGGUACGUGGAUGCAACUCCUUUGAUUCCAUGAACCCAAGAUCGUCCGACGAUGGAGGUAUAAGGUGAAACUACAUCUAAUACAAAGAAAAAGGUUAAAGUCAGGAUCCUGCUUACGCAAAUCUCCAGGGUUGUCUCGCCUCGGGGCCUGGUUGACAAACCAUUGAAACUGAAUAUAUUAUAUGUUGAAGGAAUAAGGCAUUCAUAUUUUAAGCCCAUAUUUUGGAAUGUAUCAUAGAAUAAUAUCUCUACUGAGCUUCCGUCGUCGAUUAGAAUCUUUGGUAAUGUCCAUGGCAAUUCUUCUGGUUUCUCAUCGUCUCUUUUGGCAGGUUAUUAAACCACAUCAAGGCUUCUUCUUUCAGACUUGCUGGGAAGAAUCACACAUGACGACAUCAAGGCUUCUUCUUUCAGGCUCCAUUGUGUUAACGUCAUUCGAUAAUAUCGUAGAUGUUCAAUCGCAUCACCGGUUCCACUAAAGAUUGUUGUAAACUUUGGGAGAGAGUAUUUCCUUGGAAAUUGUUUAUCUAAUAGGUUAGCCGCUAGGGGUGAUUAUCCCGCUUCUUGCAUGACCUCUGCCAACUUCUGGACUCAUUUACUUUCGGUUGCUUCUUUGUACAUCGCUUCGAGUUGAUUUAACCUUACUUACAAUGCAUCGUCAAUGUCCCUCGUUUGGACAUUCUUUUUCCUGCGAGAAUCCCGUUCGGGUGGGAUAAAGUUCUCCUGAUGAAGAUAUCAUAAUCUCCCCGAGUCUUCAUCAUAUUUUCCAUCGGGCGAUAUACGCCUAGUUCGGUUGAACUCCCUUCUCGAAGUUUCCCUUCGUCUCGGGUUUCUUUUAGAUGUCCUCUCGGACUGAUCAGGGAGUCAGGGACUCCGACCUCGACCUUUUUCUAUCUUUAUAAAUGCAUUUGUCUGGGAUUGACAUCGGACCUCCUUUAUACUUAUGGGGAAUCGAUCAUGGGUAUCCUCGUUUGAGGUAUACGGUAGAUCUAUACGGACAUCCUCUUCUAGCUUUUCUAGGGGGUUUUCCUCUUCGGGUUCCUCAUUUGGGAGAACAAGUGUCUUUUUCUUAUUUUUCUCCUGAUGCCUUAGCUUUUUGUUUUUCUUUUCCAGUCUCAUGUUUCGUCGUUCGAGAUUUUUCAUUCGCUCAUGAUGGUCUCGAGGGUAGUAGUAUUGUUAUCGUGGCUAAAGGAACCCUCUUUCAGCGUCA